CGCGUAGGCGGAUCAGCAAGUCCGGGGUGAAAUCUUUCGGCUUAACCGGAAAGUGCCUUGGAUACUGCUGAUCUUGAGGGAGGUAGGGGCAUGUGGAACUUCUGGUGGAGCGGUGAAAUGCGUUGAUAUCAGAAGGAACGCCGGUGGCGAAAGCGACAUGCUGGCCCUCUUCUGACGCUGAGGCGCGAAAGCUAGGGUAGCAACG
rnacentral:rRNA from 1 species